rnacentral:lncRNA from 1 species
ACGCACUUUUUGCAGUCAAGAAAGGUCAUGGAUUUGUACACUCUAUCAGACACAGCUAAUUAUCAAAAAGAUUUUAGGUAUUUAACAGAAUUAAAGUACAGUAUUUUAUGUUACAGAAUUGCCCCAGUGGAUGGAACCAAUAAUGCGAAGAGCACGCUGAAAAAGUAUGGCACGGCCUCCAGUUCACAGGGUGACAGGUGAACAAAUCACAGGUCUUGAGUUUCUCUACCCUGCCUCUCUUGGUAACGUCAUCUCCAGUACCAUCUGCUACCUACCAGACAAACAGACCAACCACAUAAUGAGGUACCAGCUUCCACCCAGCUACCGUGACUAAAUCAGAACAAAAGAUUCAACGCCUCCUUCAACAAAGGAACACAAGUCUAAGCUGUCUUUGCUAAUUGCUGGGUUUCAGGUUGUCUGUUACAGAUUUUAAGUGAGCUACAAACUUCCAUCAAAUACUUAAAGCUGUUGGAUAAAGAUGCUAAGAAUAAAAGAUAAAUGGAAGCAAAAGGCAAUGAUGUUGUUCUCCUAAAAUGUGAGCCAGUUUGCUUCCUGUCAGCAAGUGGAGCUCAGCUCAGCUCUUCCUCUCCCCAGGUUGCUGCACACAGACCAGCAGCUCCGGGCUCUCACUUGAAAUGGUUCGGGCAAAUUAUUACUCCAUUCAUGGAUCACCUUCUGCACUUCUUAUAUACUGACUUAGACACUUUGGGUCAUUUGAAAAUGAAAGAGAAUAAUGAAAUCAUCCUAACCAGGAACACUGUUCCAUUUAAAAAUAGGACAUUUCUUGCCACCAACGCCAUCCCUAGAUUGUAAAUGAACGUCUUUUAAAAGAUUUUUUUAAAAUAUUCCAGGGUAGGAAACUUGUUAUAUCUGUUUCUUUUUGUAAAUGAUUGCUAUCCUUAUCUAGUUAGUACAGAAAUGGUAUCUGAGUCAUGGGAAAUUAAGUGGUUUGUCUCAGGAAAAUUUGGUGGUAUGCAUGUUUUUGAUGCACGUAGAGCUGCUGAAUGAAUAAUUGGCCCCUAUUUAAUGUCCUCUGCUUUAAAGCUGUCUAGUACAUUUGCUGUUUAAAAAAAUGUCUUUCAAAGCUGUUAAAUAUGUAACAAAAAGAGGUUGCUCUCCCCAUUUUGACACAAACAAAGCCAUACAGUGAGCUGCCCGAGGUACUUCCAGCAUGGGAUUAAUUACAAACACAAUCAUAAAUGGAAAUUUUCAAAGUUUUCUGAUUCCUUUUCUUUGCAAUACCAGCUGAUGAGUGUUUGAUAAAAACAUGCAGUGAAAACAGCAGUUCAGGAAUUAGCUAUUCAAUAUUAAGCCAAACAUUUUUCAGAGAGUAUGGGAUCUGUUGGAUCUAUAAUUCCACCAUUUACCCCUGAUGGAGUGAGAUCUCUGGCUGUCUUCAGAAGCAAACCGAGCUUAAAGCAGGAGUGCACUCUCAAGAAGAUGAUCGACUAAGAAUGUGUUUUAUUUUGAUUUGAAAAACCGUCAAUCACAGAUAAAAAAGACCAAAUACUGUUAUUAUAUAUACUAGCUAAUUGUAUUUGUCUAGUAAACCAGGCACAUGCAGGAAAGAGAAAAAAAUACAGUUUAAAAGGAAAAUAUUCUGAAGGUUUUGCCCACAUGUUGUGUUGAAAUUGUUGUUCCCUGGUACAAGCAAUUGAUUUCAGAGGAAAAUACAAGCACGUAUCUAUAGAUGUGAGAGAGAAAUUAGAUGUCCAAUGUCUCACAUAUUUCAGUUUAUAUAGCCACAGCUAUUUAAACAAUUCCAAAACUGCCUCUACGGGUGUCAAAGAGGGAGGGAAAUCUUCAACCACAUGAUCUUCUCUCCAGAGUCCUGUUAAAUCCACUGAACUUAAAACAGAACAAGAAGUGUGAAAUAUGGGUUUGAACAUGUUAUGUCAGAAAUGUAAAGGUUGGAAGCCUUUUUAGUAACCGAUAUUAAUAUUGUAUUAAAUGUUAUGAAAAGGUAGGUGUUGGAGAGAAGGGCUGGGCUCAUGUGCAAUUUUGUCAAGGUUUUUAUCUGUGAUUAUGAUUCCAGAUGUAUCUAUUCCCCGAGGACAAGAAUGAAGUAAAGUUGGCAUGUGACAUGUGUUUUAAGGUGUUUGGCACAGUUUCCCAAAGUGAUGACAAAAUGUUCAUUUUUAUUACAAUGAAUUGGUACAGAAAACACGAUUCUGAAGGUCAGUAGCUGGAUAUUUACCAGAGCUUUGGAGUUUUAUUUUGGGGAAUAUACACUUCUUGUGAAGUGCUUAGAUCUGAUUGCCUGACAAGCAUCUACUAUAAUAAAUAACGUAACUAGAAUAACUUUUACA